rnacentral:rRNA from 1 species
GGUUGCGAUCAUACCAGCACUAAUGCACCGGAUCCCAUCAGAACUCUGCAGUUAAGCGUGCUUGGGCGAGAGUAGUACUAGGAUGAGUGACCCCCUGGGAAGUCCUCGUGUUGCAACCC